CACCUGACAUAUGACAUAUUGACACCUUGACAUAUGGAUUGACACCUGUCCUCAGAGCCCCUGAUGCACACGGACACAGAGCAGAAUAGAGACUGGUCCCCCUACAUAGCGUCACUUGGCAGAUAUGGAUUGACACCUGUCCUAAGGAUCCCUGAUACACACUGACACAGAGCAGAAUAGGGACUGUUCCCCCUGCAUAGGGUCACU
rnacentral:lncRNA from 1 species